AUACGAACCGGACAAACGUUAUUCGGAAUUAUUGGGCUUAAAGGGUGCGUAGGCGGCGCGGUAAGUGAGGUGUGAAAGCCCACGGCUCAACCGUGGAAUUGCGCUUCAUACUGCCGUGCUAGAGGGAGACAGAGGUAAGCGGAACUGAUGGUGGAGCGGUGAAAUGCGUUGAUAUUAUCAGGAACGCCGGUGGCGAAAGCGGCUUACUGGGUCUCUUCUGACGCUGAGGCACGAAAGCUAGGGUAGCGAACGGGAUUAGAAACCCCAGUAGUCC
rnacentral:rRNA from 1 species